rnacentral:rRNA from 1 species
AGUGAACGCUGGCGGUAGGCCUAACACAUGCAAGUCGAACGGCAGCACAGUAAGAGCUUGCUCUUACGGGUGGCGAGUGGCGGACGGGUGAGGAAUGCAUCGGAAUCUACUUUUUCGUGGGGGAUAACGUAGGGAAACUUACGCUAAUACCGCAUACGACCUACGGGUGAAAGCAGGGGAUCUUCGGACCUUGCGCGAUUGAAUGAGCCGAUGUCGGAUUAGCUAGUUGGCGGGGUAAAGGCCCACCAAGGCGACGAUCCGUAGCUGGUCUGAGAGGAUGAUCAGCCACACUGGAACUGAGACACGGUCCAGACUCCUACGGGAGGCAGCAGUGGGGAAUAUUGGACAAUGGGCGCAAGCCUGAUCCAGCCAUACCGCGUGGGUGAAGAAGGCCUUCGGGUUGUAAAGCCCUUUUGUUGGGAAAGAAAAGCAGCAGGUUAAUACCCCGCUGUUCUGACGGUACCCAAAGAAUAAGCACCGGCUAACAUCGUG